rnacentral:rRNA from 1 species
GGGGAACCCUGAUCCAGCAAUGCCGCGUGUGUGAUGAAGGCCUUAGGGUUGUAAAGCACUUUCGCCGGUGACGAUGAUGACGGUAGCCGGAUAAGAAGCCCCGGCUAACUCCGUGCCAGCAGCCGCGGUAAUACGGAGGGGGCGAGCGUUGCUCGGAAUUACUGGGCGUAAAGGGCGCGUAGGCGGCUUUGUUAGUUGGGCGUAAAGCCCCGGGCUCAACCUGGGAACUGCGCUCAAUACUGCAAAGCUUGAGAACGGGAGAGGGUAGUGGAAUUCCCAGUGUAGAGGUGAAAUUCGUAGAUAUUGGGAAGAACACCAGUGGCGAAGGCGGCUGCCUGGCCCGUUUCUGACGCUGAGGCGCGAAAGCGUGGGGAGCAAACAGGAUUAGAUACCCUGGUAGUCCACGCCGUAAACGAUGAGUGCUAGACGUCGGGGGACGUGUCCUUCGGUG